GACGAACGCUGGCGGCGUGCUUAACACAUGCAAGUCGAACGGAAAGGCCCAGCUUGCUGGGUACUCGAGUGGCGAACGGGCGAGUAACACGUGGGUGAUCUGCCCUGUUGUCUGGGAUAAGCCUGGGACACUGGGUCUAAUAUCCGAUAUGACCAACCGUCCUAUGGUGGGUGGUGGAGAGCUUUUGCGGUGUGGGAUGGGUCCGCGGCGUAUCAGCUUGUUGGUGGGGUAGUGGCCGACCAAGGCGACGACGGGUAGCCGACCUGAGAGGGGGAUCGGCCACAGUGGGACUGAGACACGGCCCAGACUCCUACGGGAGGCAGCAGUGGGGAAUAUUGCACAAUGGGGGCAAGCCUGAUGCAGCAACGCCGCGUGAGGGAUGACGGCCUUCGGGUUGUAAACCUCUUUCACCGGGGACGAAGCGUGAGUGACGGUACCUGGAGAAGAAGCACCGGCCAACUACGUG
rnacentral:rRNA from 1 species